rfam:Citrus sinensis cultivar Ridge Pineapple sweet orange scaffold00285_contig_7, whole genome shotgun sequence.
AUGCCAUUAUGAGGAUAUUUUCUGAGCAACUCCUUAAAUCUUUCCCAAGCCUCACACAAACUUUCAUCAUCAAGUUGAUGAAAAGAGGUGAUUUCAUUCCGUAAUUUU